AGUGUGAGAGCUGGGUCAAAUGGUGGUUCCAUUCCAAGUUUUCUAAGGAAUCUCCAUACUGCUUUCCAGAGUGGUUGCACCAAUUUUCAGUCCUACCAGCAAU
rnacentral:pre_miRNA from 1 species